AUGCAAACGUCUCUGACCCUGCAGUCCCCUGACAUCCUGCAAGUGACAACGGUUCCUAAAUGACAGAGCCGGAACCGGGCUCUCUAGCCCACCGACACCCCUGGAGGAGGCAUGUCGUCUCUCUCUCUGCCCCCCUCUUUCUUUUUGGUGCUGGGGAUUGAGCCCAGGGCCUCAUACAAGGUUUUUCACUUUUAAAUAGUUGAAAAAAUAGAAAAAUAAUCUCUAGUGAUGCGUGGAAAUGAUGAUGUGAAGUUGCAAUUUCAGUUUAUUUCUGCAAAUAGAGUUUUAUGGAAACACAGUUGAGCUCACGCACUAAUUCACCGUCUCUGCCGCUUGCUGCAAGGCCAGAGGUGAGCAGUAACAAUGCAAGCUGAAAACAGCCGCUGUCAGGCUCUGGAGAGAAAGCUUUGCCCAUGUGUACCCCAGAGAAAAAGGUCACCAGCUACAGGAGUGGCCUGCGGCGGAAGGAAGCCACCCCCAGCCAGCCUGCUGGGGGCCAGACUGUUGCAGUUUCCUGCUGGGGCGGGCCAGGCUCUUUCUAGCCCGCCUAUGGAGGCCGGGUCCUUGCAGGAACGCUCCUGGGCCCCGGGCCCAGGUCCUGGAUGCAGGCAGAGGAAGCGGCACUACACCCUCUAUCGAGGUAACCUGCCCAAGACCCACAGGCAGUGGCUCUGUCCUGGACAGGUGUCCUUAGGGACCACCAAUCUCCCGGGAGGCUCUGCCUCCUGCAGCUUCUUACGGCCACCGGAUUCUGGCCACAGCAGAGCAGACAGUUUCUUUCACAUCGAUGAAAACAGAUUCCCAGGGAACUGGAGGGCAUUCAGUUUUGAUUUUGAGGCAGAUUCUCGCUAAGUCGCCUAGGCUGGCCUCUAAAUUGUGAUCCUCCUGCCUCAGCUUCCUGAGCAGCUGCGAUUACAGGCCUGUGCCACCACACCCC
rnacentral:lncRNA from 1 species